rnacentral:rRNA from 1 species
GACGAACGCUGGCGGCGUGCUUAACACAUGCAAGUCGAACGGUGAAACUCUUCGGAGGGGCUCCGUAGCGAACGGGUGAGUAACACGUUGACAACCUGCCCCCGGCUCUGGGAUAACUCCAAGAAAUUGGGGCUAAUACCGGAUUUUCACCGCUUCCCGCAUGGGGGGUGGUGGAAAGGGUUUCGGGCUGGGGCUGGGCCCGCGGCUUAUGAGCUUGUUGGUGGGGUAGUGGCGUACGAAGGCGACGACAGAUAGCCGGCCUGAGAGGGUGACCGGCCUCCCUGGGCCUGAGAGAGGGCCCAGUCGCCAAUGUGAGGCAGCAGGGGGGAAUCUUGCGGAAUGGGGGGGAGCCUGACGUAGAGGUGCCGCGUUGGUGAUGACGGCUUUCUGGUGGUAAACAUCUUUCAGCAGGGAUGAAGCGCAAGUGACGGUACCUGCAGAAGAAGCACCGGCUAACUACGUG